rnacentral:lncRNA from 1 species
CAAAUCAGUUUGCCUUUGACGAGGAUGUGCUCUAUCUCUUUCCUUGGUGUGCUUUUGAGUGAUGGGCAUCCACGUCCUCUGAUGGAUGCACACUGCAGUCAGGUCAGGAGUUGAAUCCAUGGUUUUGGAGUACUUAUUUGGCAUUGUCCAUAUCGAAAUACGAAUCUUUUACUAGGACAAGGGAUUUGAGAUGCUGAAUCAGUUCAAGGUAAGGGUGGUUCAGAAGUUGGAGCUGCAUGAUUCUGUUGGAGCGAUUUUUAUGAUCCUGUCCUUAUAA